AGUGAACGCUGGCGGUAGGCCUAACACAUGCAAGUCGAACGGCAGCACAGUAAGAGCUUGCUCUUACGGGUGGCGAGUGGCGGACGGGUGAGGAAUACAUCGGAAUCUACUUUUUCGUGGGGGAUAACGUAGGGAAACUUACGCUACUACCGCAUACGACCUACGGGUGAAAGCAGGGGAUCUUCGGACCUUGCGCGAUUGAAUGAGCCGAUGUCGGAUUAGCUAGUUGGCGGGGUAAAGGCCCACCAAGGCGACGAUCCGUAGCUGGUCUGAGAGGAUGAUCAGCCACACUGGAACUGAGACACGGUCCAGACUCCUACGGGAGGCAGCAGUGGGGAAUAUUGGGCAAUGGGCGCAAGCCUGAUCCAGCCAUACCGCGUGAGUGAAGAAGGCCUUCGGGUUGUAAAGCCCUUUUGUUGGGAAAGAAAAGCAGCAGGUUAAUACCCCGCUGUUCUGACGGUACCCAAAGAAUAAGCACCGGCUAACUUCGUG
rnacentral:rRNA from 1 species